GCCCAAUGAUUGUGUUCCCUUGGAAAACUUUCAUUGCUUUAAAGGGACUUUCAUGCUUGGCUUCAAUCCAAGUAAGAGGAUGCUCCCGGUCAAUAAUAACCAAAGAAACAGAACCUUUUUCCUUGGUCGCUAGGUCUCUUAUCCAUAAUAAUGGACUUAUUUGCAUCUCUCGCUAUUGCUAUUAAAACGUAGGUGAACUUUGAGUCAUACUUCAUGCGGCCUGACAGAUUCUUCUUCAUUAGAGUUUGCAGGCUCAGGCUCUCGCUGCGCAACCUCGGAAGUUAAGGUGGGCGACUGAAGAUUAUCAACAUAGCAGCCAUGCUACAAGUUAGCAAGUACUGUUUCUAUCGAGUCUUUGGAUCAUUCUGUGUGGGAGUAGCUUUUUACUGGGUAUAGCCCAAACUUGAGAGAUUUUGGAAAGUUCUAGUUUCUUGUGUUUACCAGCUCUGGUUUUCCAGUUCAAGUUUCAUGAGUAUGCGAAUUGCCAGUUUAAUUGCAGGGAAAUAAAAUUCAUUUCAGCAAGAAGUUGGUACAUGUUUGUUAGAAGUCAUGUUCCUCUCCGUUCUAUAUUCAUCUUCUUAGACAGGUUUUCCUUAUCAGGUACGUGGAUGGCUUACACAGAGAAAAAUGACAAAGCCGCUCGCCUUUUCCCGAACCUUAACAACUACUCCUAGUUUGUUAUAGUUUGUACCAUCAGACAUAACUUGCACCUUUUCUGAAGCUUCAGUAACAACCCCAUUGAUUAUGUCGUCGUGUGCAAUAUUUCAACUAACUUUUUGCCUCCA